rnacentral:rRNA from 1 species
UACGUAGGGUGCGAGCGUUAAUCGGAAUUACUGGGCGUAAAGCGUGCGCAGGCGGUUUUGCAAGCCGGAUGUGAAAUCCCCGGGCUCAACCUGGGAAUGGCAUUCGGGACUGCAAGGCUGGAGUGCGGCAGAGGAUACUGGAAUUCCUGGUGUAGCAGUGAAAUGCGUAGAUAUCAGGAGGAAUACCGAUGGCGAAGGCAGGUCUCUGGGCUGACACUGACGCUCAUGCACGAAAGCGUGGGGAGCAAACAGG